UCAUCAUCUCGUUGGCUGCGGACAAUAAGGGGUGAAUUAAAGCGAGACCAAUAUUAUUGUGUCGUGUAUGUCAGAGACAAGACUAUACGUUAUCAGGUGAUCCCAAAUCAUGCGUCGAUCCACGAAUGGCGUUUGGAAU
rnacentral:rRNA from 1 species